rnacentral:rRNA from 1 species
GAUGAACGCUGGCGGCGUGCUUAACACAUGCAAGUCGAACGAUGAAGCCCAGCUUGCUGGGUGGAUUAGUGGCGAACGGGUGAGUAACACGUGAGUAACCUGCCCUUAACUCUGGGAUAAGCCUGGGAAACUGGGUCUAAUACCGGAUAGGAGCGUCCACCGCAUGGUGGGUGUUGGAAAGAUUUAUCGGUUUUGGAUGGACUCGCGGCCUAUCAGCUUGUUGGUGAGGUAAUGGCUCACCAAGGCGACGACGGGUAGCCGGCCUGAGAGGGUGACCGGCCACACUGGGACUGAGACACGGCCCAGACUCCUACGGGAGGCAGCAGUGGGGAAUAUUGCACAAUGGGCGCAAGCCUGAUGCAGCGACGCCGCGUGAGGGAUGACGGCCUUCGGAUUGUAAACCUCUUUCAGUAGGGAAGAAGCGAAAGUGACGGUACCUGCAGAAGAAGCACCGGCUAACUACGUG